UACAGUGAGAAAAGGGAAGGAAACUUUAUAAUUGCAGAACCGGAAGCUGCCGCUGGGCUCCUAUUGCACAGCUGUUACAGAUGAUCACACUCAGCCAGACUUCAUUCUACUGAAUCCUGUAUAUCUGAUGAACGUAAAUUAUCAUACAGAUCAAUUAGCCAAUCAAAAUCAAAGGGGAAGGAAUUUGAGGAGACAACAAAAUCAAUCUGUGUUCAGGAGUCAUCGGUGUAACAAAAUGGGGUAUCUAUGUGUAAUGUUAUUGGACUACAACUCCCACAAUGCCAUGAACUACCAUAAGCAGAAACCUACAGAAACUGCAGAUUCUUUAUCUCCUUAUAUAGAAACCUACAAUGUCCUGCUUGUGGGCUGCGCUCCUCCCACCAUCUAUGGGUCCUGCAGCAGGUCCGGUUGCCUCCAGGGAAACUGCUACCCAGCGGGUUGGGGGUAGGAUUUCCGGAUACGGGUAUAGAGGGUCGGGUCCUAUUUUAUAUUAUAUUAUCUACACAUAGAUAGUUCACUCUUAAUAUGAUGUAGAGAGUAAUAUUCUAGGAUA